CUAUGAUGUUUUUUACGCUAACGACAUGUUUCGGGACUGACCGUUUGUGGCUUUGAAUCCCUGCCGUUCUGCGGCUUUCUUUUUAUGACAAGAUGAUCGAGUUGCGUUUUUCGUGAGUUAGCGUAUGGUGUAGAAGGAAGGUGAUGAGUUGUCGUCUCAUAUCCUUCUUCGAUGUGAACUGUUUUGUUCGAGAUCUGUUUCAAGAGUUUUUCCGCGAGAUAUUGAUUUCGUGGGAUGUGUGAAGAUGUCGAAUAUAAACAUAGAGGCAUGGUUUUAGGAAAAACUUGAGGCAUUUUUUGCGAUGUCUCGCGAUGCCAAAGGUUGCUUUUCC
rnacentral:lncRNA from 1 species